rnacentral:rRNA from 1 species
AUUGAACGCUGGCGGCAGGCUUAACACAUGCAAGUCGAGCGGAGAUGAGGUGCUUGCACCUUAUCUUAGCGGCGGACGGGUGAGUAAUGCUUAGGAAUCUGCCUAUUAGUGGGGGACAACAUUCCGAAAGGAAUGCUAAUGCCGCAUACGUCCUACGGGAGAAAGCAGGGGAUCUUCGGACCUUGCGCUAAUAGAUGAGCCUAAGUCGGAUUAGCUAGUUGGUGGGGUAAAGGCCUACCAGGGCGACGAUCUGUAGCGGGUCUGAGAGGAUGAUCCGCCACACUGGGACUGAGACACGGCCCAGACUCCUACGGGAGGCAGCAGUGGGGAAUAUUGGACAAUGGGGGGAACCCUGAUCCAGCCAUGCCGCGUGUGUGAAGAAGGCCUUAUGGUUGUAAAGCACUUUAAGCGAGGAGGAGGCUACUGAGACUAAUACUCUUGGAUAGUGGACGUUACUCGCAGAAUAAGCACCGGCUAACUCUGUGCCAGCCGCCGCAGUAA